rnacentral:rRNA from 1 species
CUAAAUGACUCUCGGCAACGGAUAUCUCGGCUCUCGCAUCGAUGAAGAACGUAGCGAAAAUGCGAUACUUGGUGUGAAUUGCAGAAUCCCGUGAACCAUCGAGUCUUUGAACGCAAGUUGCGCCCGAAGCCUUACGGCCAAGGGCACGCCUGCCUGGGCGUCACGCA